rnacentral:rRNA from 1 species
CCUACGGGCGGCUGCAGUGGGGAAUAUUGCACAAUGGGCGCAAGCCUGAUGCAGCCAUGCCGCGUGUGUGAAGAAGGCCUUCGGGUUGUAAAGCACUUUCAGCGGGGAGGAAGGCGGUGAGGUUAAUAACCUCAUCGAUUGACGUUACCCGCAGAAGAAGCACCGGCUAACUCCGUGCCAGCAGCCGCGGUAAUACGGAGGGUGCAAGCGUUAAUCGGAAUUACAGGGCGUAAAGCGCACGCAGGCGGUCUGUCAAGUCGGAUGUGAAAUCCCCGGGCUCAACCUGGGAACUGCAUUCGAAACUGGCAGGCUAGAGUCUUGUAGAGGGGGGUAGAAUUCCAGGUGGAGCGGUGAAAUGCGUAGAGAUCUGGAGGAAUACCGGUGGCGAAGGCGGCCCCCUGGACAAAGACUGACGCUCAGGUGCGAAAGCGUGGGGAGCAAACAGGAUUAGAUACCCUUGUAGUC